rnacentral:rRNA from 1 species
UACGUAGGGUGCAAGCGUUAUCCGGAAUUAUUGGGCGUAAAGAGCUCGUAGGCGGUUUGUCGCGUCUGCUGUGAAAACUGGAGGCUCAACCUCCAGCCUGCAGUGGAUACGGGCAGGCUAGAGUUCGGUAGGGGAGACUGGAAUUCCUGGUGUAGCGGUGAAAUGCGCAGAUAUCAGGAGGAACACCGGUGGCGAAGGCGGGUCUCUGGGCCGAUACUGACGCUGAGGAGCGAAAGCGUGGGGAGCGAACAGG